UUAUAGGUAGCUGCUUGUUCCCUGAGCCAGACAGUACCACUGUGGAGAGGCAGUGCUUCAGAUUCACCACCCUCCAGGGUCGCGACCAAGACCAGGCCAACACGAAGAACCAUGACCCACUUGGCAUCCUGCUUUUGUGGGACUAACUACUCCAGUGCCUGCUUUUCCAUGGGUCCUAGAGGGGGCUUUCUUUUGUCAAGAAACUGGUUCUUUUCUUUACCUCCUGCAAUUCCUCCAGCCAUGAAAGGGAAAGGAAGCAUUCAUCUGGGGACAGACUCAAGAAUGUUUGAUGGUAAAUAUUUUUAAAUGCAGCAUGACAUUAAAAAUAUGAAUCAAAAGGUCUUAUG
rnacentral:lncRNA from 1 species